rnacentral:misc_RNA from 1 species
AUUGAAAGUGCUUGAAUCUCCAUAAGCACCAUCGCUUGCACUCAGGAAGGUAAUGAUCUCAUUCAAAGACUGUAAUCUGUGGCUAAGCUCACCAACCUGAGCCCUGAGGAUAGAGUUAUCAGCCUCCAUGAUCAGGUAUUGCUGAGUUGUGAUGUCGAUGCUUGUGAUAAGCUGGAGGUUCUCCUUCCUCAGCUGAGCCAA